GCGCCUGAGAGAUAGCGACUAUAUCCACGGGUAGCAGCAGGCGCGAAACUUACCCACUCGAGACUUUCGGAGGUGGUAAUGACCAGUUCCAUGUCAACUCUUUUGGGUUGUUUGGAUAGGAUCACACUUUUCCAGUGUGGUGAAACCUAGCAGAGGGCCAGUCUGGUGCCAGCAGCUGCGGUAAUUCCAGCUCUGCGAGUUUGCUCCCAUAUUGUUGCAGUUAAAACGCCCGUAGUCGGAAUUGCCGUCAAAGGCCGAUGUGGUCAAACACGUUCACUGUGAACAAAUCAGGACGCUUAGUGUGUGGAAACAGGAAUGAUCUAGCGCAGUAUGAUAUCUUUACUAUGUAAGAUCAAUGAGAGCCACCGGGGGUAGAUCUAUUUCAUGGCGAGCGGUGGAAUGCAAUGACCCAUGAGAGAGAAACGAAGGCGAAGGCAUCUACCUAGAGGGUUUCUGUCGAUCAAGGGCGAGAGUAGGAGUAUCCAACCGGAUCAGAGACCCGGGUAGUUCCUACCUUAAACGAUGCCGACAGGGGCUUGUCCUUUCAUGAGGGCAGGAUCUUAGGAGAAAUCAUAGUUCUUGGGCUCUGGGGGAACUACGACCGCAAGGCUGAAACUUGAAGGAAUUGACGGAAGGGCACACCAGGGGUGGAGCUUGUGGCUUAAUUUGAAUCAACACGGGGAAACUUACCAGGACCAGAUGUUUUUAAGGACUGACAGGCUUCGGGUCUUUCAGGAUAGGACUUUUGGUGGUGCAUGGCCGUUGGUGGUGCGUGGGUUGACCUGUCUAGCGUUGAUUCAGCUAACGAGCGAGAUUAUCGCCAAUUAUAUACAGGGUACUGCUUCCCAGUAUUCCUGUUCUAAUUGGGACUCCUUGCGAUUAAGCAAGCGGAAGAGGGUAGCAAUAACAGGUCCGUGAUGUCCUUUAGAUGCUCUGGGCUGCACGCGCGCUACAAUGUUAGGAUCAAAGGGAUGCAAAGCUGAAAAGCUAAGCUACUCUGCCAAUACCUAACGUAGUUGGGAUUGACGGUUGUAAUCACCGUCAUGAACCAGGAAUCCCUUGUAAAUGCGUGUCAACAGCGCGCGUUGAAUACGUCCCUGCCCUUUGUACACACCGCCCGUCGCUCCUACCGAUUGGAUGAUUCGGUGAAAUCACUGGAUUGCUUGCAAGAAGGUGAUUAAAUCAUGUUAUCUAGAGGAAGGAGAAGUCGUAACAAGGUAACGGUAGGUGAACCUGCCGUUGGAUCAG
rnacentral:rRNA from 1 species